rnacentral:rRNA from 1 species
GAGACCGCGGACGGCUCAUUAAAUCAGUCGUGGUCCAAAUGGGCCAGUGUUAUUUUACUUGGAUAACUGUGGUAAUUCCAGAGCUAAUACAUGCAACUCAUACCUCGAUGUCAGUGGCUUGUCCACUACUGACAGGUGCUUUUAUUAGACCAAACCCCUGGGGUAGUGUUGCUUCGCUCACGCGUUGUGGCAUUGCUUACUCGUAGUAUGGUGACUCUGGAUAACCAUUUUUGACAAGCGCACGUACCCCGCACGGGGACGGCGCUGCCACUUUCGAGUGUCUGCCUUAUCAGCUAUCAAUCGCUCGCUACACGCGACCGAUGGCGUUGACGGGUAACGGGGAAUCAGGGUUCGAUUCCGGAGAGGCAGCCUGAGAGACGGCUACCACGUCCAAGGACGGCAGCAGGCACGCAAAUUACCCAAUCCCAGCAUCUGGGGGAGGUAGUGACGAAAUCUAACGAUGCGGGCGCCCCCUCUGGGGCCCCGCAAUCGGAAUGAGCACUUUCUAAACAACCUGUUGAGAACCUACUGAAGGGCAAGUCUGGUGCCAGCAGCCGCGGUAAUUCCAGCUUCAGUAGCAUCUAUUAAAGUUGCUGCGGUUAAAAGGCUCGCAGUUGAAUGUCAGUACCGGACGUUGGUAAGGUGGACGUUGGGGCGUGAGAUCAAAAGGUCUUGAUUUGUCUCGCUCUUUCUCUUGCGCGCGUCGCUGUACACGCGUGCACCUUACGGUGUGUGCUGUGCACGUGGUGUGUGUGGGGGUCUGGGUGGGUUUUCUUGGCCUCUCACAAGCUCCCGUCCGUGACAAGCCUCCUCGUUCGGGUACACAUAAGGGAAUCACUUAUUGUGCGCAAGGUGUCCGGAUGGCUCGUGUACGACUUGUUGGGUGUCUGACUCUUCCUCACGGGAGUGUAACAGGCCUCUUGACCCGUGCGAGUUCGGAUGGCCCAUGCGCCAUGGUUUCAUUGUCACCUUGAGUAAAUCAGAGUGCUCAAAGCAGUCGUGGUGGGCCUUGUGCCCUCAGUCUUACAGACUGACUUGGUUUUGCACGGUAUGUCGGAAGACGACGUCGAGCGCUGGCUCAGAGAGACUGACAGUGGUAUAAGCCAGCCUCGACGUACUGAUUAAAAGGAACGGUCGAGGGCAUUGGUAUUGCGAGGCGAGAGGUGAAAUUCUAUGACCCCCGCAAGACCGCCCGAAGCGAAAGCGUCUGCCAAGGACGUUUUCAUUAAUCAUGAACGAAAGUUAGAGGAUCGAAGGCGAUCAGAUACCGCCCUAGUUCUGACCCUAAACGAUGCCAACCAUCAAUCCGCGCGUAGCACCCUUUUUGACGGGCUCGGCGGGCAGCUCCUUUUUCACGGGAAACCAGAGUCUUUGGGUUCCGGGGGGAGUCUGGUUGCAAA